AGCUCGCACACGGCAACGCGUAUUUUGUUAUUGCGCGUGAUGGCACUUAUUUUAAAUCGUCGAAUUCGGCACCUAUUUCGCUUAAGACAGAUGGUGUAUGGGCAGAUAGUGAUUGUUAAGUACCUUAAAUUUGUUUUUUUGAAUGAGACUUGUUUAAACGACCAACAGUGUAUUCAGAUUUCGACGAGGGAAAUGUAAACUUGGCGCAAACAGAGGAAAGUGCAUGACGUAUCAGUCUUGGAAUGAUGGCUAUUAAUCAUGGCUAUGUGCUAGAUAUUCCAGUUAACAUUAGACACAGCUACUAAACUAAAGCACCAAAGCUAGCUAGCUACCUAGCUAUAUAUAUAUUAGCCGAAGUAGUGGACCAGAAGAUGGAGUGUGUGAUGUUGUGUUUAAUUAUUCCAUACCACUGUGUGGUUAAUAGAUAAAGGUGCUAAAAGGUGCAGUUGUUCCAUUUUCAUCUGGUCUGCAUAUUUAUACUCUGUCAAAUAUUUUGCAAGCUUUAAGAGUGUUUGUCAAAGUUUUAUAGUUACCAACUUAGUGUUUUACAGUGGUUCCUGUGGACUUUCUUUUUACAUUUCCUUAAAUUUGAAAUAUCUUUUCAGCUAUUACGUUAUUUUCUCUGGCUG